GGUCCCAUGGUAGAGGAGAAAUUACUUAAAACAGGGACUCUGGAUAAAGUCCAGCGGCCUGGGUUGGAAUCCUUCUGCUACCUGUAACCAGUUGCAUGACCUAAGGCAAGUAAUUUCAUCUCUGUCUCAGUUUCCUGGUCUGGAAAAUGGGGAUAAUAAUCUCAACUUCCUGUUGGUUUGCUGCGAGUUUUAAAAUAGUUAUUGUAUGCAGAG